GCCCGCGUGGCGUAAUGGAAACGCGUUCGACUUCUAAUCGAAAGAUUGCGGGUUCGACCCCCGCCGUGGGUU
rfam:Aspergillus versicolor CBS 583.65 unplaced genomic scaffold ASPVEscaffold_11, whole genome shotgun sequence.